GGAUUUGUGGCUUAGUGGUUUGAGUAUUGGAUUAUAUGACUCUGGAGACCAGGGUUCGAUUCCCAGCUCAGCCA